rnacentral:rRNA from 1 species
UGGGGAAUAUUGCACAAUGGGCGCAAGCCUGAUGCAGCCAUGCCGCGUGUAUGAAGAAGGCCUUCGGGUUGUAAAGUACUUUCAGUCGGGAGGAAGGUGGUAAGGUUAAUAACCUUAUCAAUUGACGUUACCGACAGAAGAAGCACCGGCUAACUCCGUGCCAGCAGCCGCGGUAAUACGGAGGGUGCAAGCGUUAAUCGGAAUUACUGGGCGUAAAGCGCACGCAGGCGGUCUGUCAAGUCGGAUGUGAAAUCCCCGGGCUUAACCUGGGAACUGCAUUCGAAACUGGCAGGCUAGAGUCUUGUAGAGGGGGGUAGAAUUCCAGGUGUAGCGGUGAAAUGCGUAGAGAUCUGGAGGAAUACCGGUGGCGAAGGCGGCCCCCUGGACAAAGACUGACGCUCAGGUGCGAAAGCGUGGGAAGCAAACAGG